UGUGCCAAGGCGCAGCCGGCUUCUUCCCAUGUGGCUUUGCGAAUCUUUCUCUCUUUUCUCACGGAACAAAGUGUGCGGGACGCACACUCUAUCGUGAUCCACAGAAAUGAGAGCAAAGUGGCGUAAGAAGCGGAUGCGAAGGCUGAAGCGUAAGAGGAGGAAGAUGAGGGAGAGGUCCAAGUAAAUCAUCCCUUUGGUGCUGCUGCUGGUCAGGGACCCUAUGUGGAUUCUCAACAAUGGACUUCCACAGUGACUCCUAACUGCUGCGACACCAUGUCUCGUGUAGAGGCUGUUUUUGCAGGAUGAUAGACCGUCCCGCAGGUCUUGAUGUGUGAAAGCCAUCUGCUCUACUUGUACACACUGUACACCACCGUCGGUUCUGUGCAUUAAACAUCUGUCACUACACUA